AUUGAACGCUGGCGGCAUGCCUUACACAUGCAAGUCGAACGGUAACAGGUCUUCGGAUGCUGACGAGUGGCGAACGGGUGAGUAAUACAUCGGAACGUGCCUAGUAGUGGGGGAUAACUACUCGAAAGAGUGGCUAAUACCGCAUGAGAUCUACGGAUGAAAGCAGGGGAUCGCAAGACCUUGUGCUACUAGAGCGGACGAUGGCAGAUUAGGUAGUUGGUGGGAUAAAAGCUUACCAAGCCGACGAUCUGUAGCUGGUCUGAGAGGACGAUCAGCCAUACUGGGACUGAGACACGGCCCAGACUCCUACGGGAGGCAGCAGUGGGGAAUUUUGGACAAUGGGCGCAAGCCUGAUCCAGCAAUGCCGCGUGCAGGAUGAAGGCCUUCGGGUUGUAAACUGCUUUUGUACGGAACGAAAAGCCCUGGGUUAAUACCCUGGGGUCAUGACGGUACCGUAAGAAUAAGCACCGGCUAACUACGUGCCAGCCGCCGCCGUAAGAC
rnacentral:rRNA from 1 species